rnacentral:lncRNA from 1 species
UUGUCACAGCCCACUAUCCCAAUGACGGGUUAACAGGGGUUAUGACUUGGGGUGAACAAUAAGAAAUGGAAAUGGACAAUUACUUAACAUUAAAGUAUAUGGAAAUGUCACUCAUAGAUAAAAUGCUAGGAUUAUAUAUGAUUAUUUGGAUACUUAUAAAACAUACACAUAAAUGGGAACUGAUUAAGGUGGGUUACCCAAUAACACGUGUCACAAUUUCAUAACAUAAAGUUAUCCUAAUCAAAGUGUUUUGCAGCGGAAAACGUGUGAGAUAUACAUAUGAAGAUGUAUACUCAAGGUUACAUUUCUUGAAAUGUCAAAGGAACACCCGCUCAACAUCAUUCCAUUCCAUCAACUGCUCAACCUGCACAUUUAGAAAUACAUGCAGGGCUGAGUAUAA